rnacentral:rRNA from 1 species
GUCCACGCCGUAAACGAUGGGUGCUAGGUGUGGGGAGUGUCGACUCUCUCCGUGCCGAAGCUAACGCAUUAAGCACCCCGCCUGGGGAGUACGGCCGCAAGGCUAAAACUCAAAGGAAUUGACGGGGCCCGCACAAGCAGCGGAGCAUGUUGUUUAAUUCGACGCAACGCGAAGAACCUUACCAGGGCUUGACAUGCACGGGAAUGUCGUAGAAAUACGGCAGCCCUUCGGGGCUCGUGCACAGGUGUUGCAUGGCCGUCGU